GGGCAAAGGGUCUUGAGAUAACCAGACAUGGAACAGACAUGACUUUCUCCUACAGGAACGUUGGUACCUCUUGGGCUUGCAGAAUGUUCCAGAAAGGAUGGAGAAGGAAAGGAUAAGGGCAGCAGAUACAGAUUUAAGUGGACUAUCAAUUUUACUAACCGCAGACAAGAAAUUACUCCGUUCUGACGGGUGCAGGAAUGAAUGUGGAUGCCUUGGAAAAGAAUGGAUUCCGUGUGAAAUGGGCAAUAAGUCCCCUCUGUAGAAAGAGGAGCUGUGAGGGGAUGUGUUUCUCCUCAGGUCGGUGGCACUCGAGUUCUGAUUGGAGAAGUCCUCAAACAGCCAAGCCCAGCAGGACUCAGCCAGCCCAGCUGAUGUCACUCAGGAAGGGAGAGCCCUAGGCUCCUGGUGUUCAGCAGAUGGCGGUGACGAUGAGAGGGAGAAACUGACGACUGCAAAGGGCUGUACGACUCAAGGACUGGGAAGCCAAGUGUAAAGGAGAACACGUCGAUUUCUGCUGUGGGGUAAGACUGUCUUCCUCAGUGGCUAGAGUAGUGCCGGGCCCUAGGAGGGACUCAAUAAAUGUUAAUCGGAUCAAUUUAGAUAUACUUUA
rnacentral:lncRNA from 1 species